rnacentral:tRNA from 1 species
UGCGGCGUGGACUGGAAUGGUUCCCAGCGCGGCUUCAUAAGCCGUCCGAUGCCGGUUCGACUCCGGCCGCCGCGA